rnacentral:piRNA from 1 species
UCAUUUUAGGCUAUUCUGUUU